ACCAAGGUUUAGUUUUGACGUUG
rnacentral:miRNA from 1 species